rnacentral:tRNA from 1 species
GAUGAGGUGGCUCGGUGGUUAAGGCGAUGGACUGCUAUCCACUGUGCUCUGCACACAUGGGUUCAAAUCCCACCCUCAUUA